GAACUGCAAUUGUUAUCCAUUUGCUUGUUUUAGGUGUAAGGUAUGCCAGGAUAAAUGGUAGACACAUUGUGAAUGUGGAUACCCUCUAAUAGGAGUUUGCACACAGUGUUGGAAAAUCCAAAGAACUCCCACUGAGUGGAAAUUAAAACAAUUAGAGUCUAAACAAGAAAUUAUUCGGGAAUCCCAUGAGUGGUGGGAAAUUUUUGCCAAAGGAAUAAACCCUCAAUAUUAUUGUUACCACUCCAACGAACCAGUCCCCUUUGUAGCUGAAAUUUUGGUUAUAAAGUGCAGAAGAGAAGUACUGACCGUGUCUUGCUUUGCCCCAUUAGUUAAAGCUGCAAAGUGGGAAGCCUAUAUAAACAGGCAGAAAGCCCGAAACAGCUGUUCUCCUGAAGAAUUCCCUUGCUGCCGAGAAGAUGGUACACCCCGUGGCUCAAAGCAACCGAGUCGACGGGCGAGGCAGAAGAGGAACAAACUGUGGAGAAAAGAACCAGAACAAUGGGACGCAAAAGCAGCAAUGGCCGAACUUCCCCAGGACUGGUAAAAAUAUACUUAAAUUGACAAAAUUGACAGACACCCUUUUUCCUGGUAUACCGUUAGUUUUGUUAUUGAUAAUAACCCAAGCAAAUGGAAACCCUCAUGAACCUAUGAACUGGACAAUAACAAACAUAAAAUAUCCAAAUAAUCCAAUCCAAACACGAACUACACCAGGCACAGUUAGUUUCAAUGUGAGUUUGCAUGAUCUAAUUACUGAAGAAGAUCGUAAAGAUGAAGCGGAUAUAUGUAAACCAAUUUAUAUAUGUCCAGCAUCAAACCCUGGUAAAGGAUACUGUAAUUGGCCAGGUCAUUAUUACUGUGCAUAUUGGGGGUGCGAAACAUGGGCCUCUGAGUGGUCCGCACCUGGAGACCAAUAUCUAGAAAUAAAGUGGUCACCGGAAGGAUGCCAGAGACCUAAAUUAACCGGAGACCGGUGGGGUCAUUGCUUAAGUAAACCGAUUCCUUGUAUGGGCAUCAAUAUAACUAUAAAAAAUCCUGCUCAGGACUUUUGGCUGGCAGGGAAAUAUUGGGGAAUUAGAUAUUGGGAAACAGGUGCAGACAGAGGAGGAAUUUUUCAAAUAAUGAAAAGACCGAUGCCCCACGAUCCCUUACCAGUAGGACCAAACCUGGUCCUGAAUCCACCCACUUUCUCUGAAGAAAAGGUUGCCCCCGCAAGCGUCGCAACCACUUCUCCAAACUCCCUUUCGGAAACAACUAAUGACAUUGUGACUGAAUUCUCCUCAUCCAGGGAUCUAGAGUUGUCAAAAUCCAAAGACCCCUUAUGGAAUCUAAUACAAGCCUCUUAUCGUGCCCUUAAUGAAAGCAAACCAAAUUUAACUGAAGAAUGUUGGUUAUGUUAUAAUGUUAGACCACCAUAUUUUGAGGCAAUUGGAAAACCAGGUAGGAUUCAAUGGUCUAAUGGUUCAAACCCACGAGAAUGCCCAUGGGAUGACCAGAGGAACCAUACGCAAGGAAUUACUAUUCAAUUAGUAACAGGUCAAGGAAAAUGUAUAGGUACAGUGCCCGAAAAGUAUCAGCCUUUGUGCAAUCGAACAGUCACUAACACCAAUAUAGAGAAACACAAGAAUCAAAAUGACAAAUGGGCUAUCCCGACACCAGGAGCUAAAUGGGUUUGUUCAGACAUCGGAGUAACGCCUUGCCUAUCCCUAAACGUGUUUGAUCAAUCUCAGUUUUGCGUACAGGUGAUUAUUGUUCCUCGUCUGAUCUAUCACACCUCUGAGGAGGUGUUACGCCACUUUGAAGGAGACCUGAAUAGACAAAAACGAGAGCCAAUUACAGUAGUAACCCUAGCUACCCUGCUGAUAGCGGGCGGAGUUGGAGCAGGUACAGGCAUAGCCUCCCUAGUAAAAGGUCAGGUGUUACAAAGUUUGCAGAUGGCUGUAGAUGAAGAUUUAGCAAAAAUAGAACAAUCUAUCCAAAAUUUAGCCACUUCAGUAAAGUCUUUAUCAGAAGUAGUACUGCAAAAUAGAAGAGGAUUAGAUCUAUUGUUCUUAAAGGAAGGAGGGUUAUGUGUAGCUCUCAAUGAAGAAUGUUGCUCUUUUGCUGACCAUACUGGAGUAGUCCAGGACACCAUGUCUGAACUCCGUAAAAGGUUAGAUCAACGUAAGAAAGAUCGUGAGGCGGGCAAGUCAUGGUACGAAAACUGGUUUAAUGUUUCACCUUGGCUAACCACUUUGUUGUCCGCUUUAGCAGGACCGCUUAUCAUGUUGAUUUUGGGACUUAUAUUUGGGCCUUGUAUAUUACGCUAUAUUUUACACUUUAUUAAAGAACGGUUUGACAUAGCUAAACUGCUUAUUUUAACUACGAGGUCUGGGGCAAAAUAUAAGAGCGUAUCUAUUAAUGAGGAUGAAGAUUGUUGUGAAUGCGUUAUGCCACGUGAGAACUAUGCCUUUUGUAAUUGUGAGGUAUUACCUUGUGAGUGUUAUGAUAAAUGUUGGGAUUGUG